CUAGUACUCCAUCUGUCUUAAAAUUAUUGUCUUCGGUUUAUGUGAAAAUGGAUGUAUCAAAAUACUAAAACGUGACUAGAUACAUUAACAUCUAGACAAAUUUAAGAUAAUAAUUUUAGGACGGAGGGAGUAUAAA
rnacentral:pre_miRNA from 1 species